AUUGAACGCUGGCGGCAGGCCUACCACAUGCAAGUCGAGCGGAGCGGCGGACGGGUGAGUAAUGCCUAGGUAUCUGCCUGGUAGUGGGGGAUACCGUCCGGAACCGGGCGCUAAUACCGCACACUCUCAGAUGAGUUUAGGUCGGAGUAGCUAGGUGGUGGGGUAAAGGCCAACCAAGGAGACGAUCCGUAACUGGCCUGAGAGGAAGAUCAGUCAAACUGGAACUGAGAAACGGUCCAGACUCCUACGGGAGGCAGCAGUGGGGAAUAUUGGACAAUGGGCGAAAGCCUGAUCCAGCCAUGCCGCGUGUAUGAAGAAGGUCUUAGGAUUGUAAAGCACUUUAAGUUGGGAGGCGUUACCAACAGAAUAAGCACCGGCUAACUUCGUGCCAGCAGCCGCGGUAAUAC
rnacentral:rRNA from 1 species